rnacentral:rRNA from 1 species
GGAUUGCCUCAGUAACGGCGAGUGAAGCGGCAACAGCUCAAAUUUGAAAGCUGGCCCCCCCGGGGGUCCGCGUUGUAAUUUGUAGAGGAUGAUUCGGCGAGGGCUCCCGCCUAAGUCCCCUGGAACGGGGCGUCAUAGAGGGUGAGAAUCCCGUAUGCGGUGGGCUGCCUUAGCCAUGUGAAUCUCCUUCGACGAGUCGAGUUGUUUGGGAAUGCAGCUCUAAAUGGGAGGUAAAUUUCUUCUAAAGCUAAAUACCGGCCAGAGACCGAUAGCGCACAAGUAGAGUGAUCGAAAGAUGAAAAGCACUUUGGAAAGAGAGUUAAAAAGUACGUGAAAUUGUUGAAAGGGAAGCGCUUGCAGCCAGACUUGUCCGCAGUUGCUCAGCCGGUCUCCUGACCGGCGCACUCUUCUGCGGCCAGGCCAGCAUCAGUUCGGGCGGUCGGAUAAAGGCCCCGGGAACGUAGCUCCUCUCGGGGAGUGUUAUAGCCCGGGGUGGAAUGCGGCCAGCCUGGACUGAGGAUCUCGCUUCGGCUAGGAUGCUGGCGUAAUGGCUGUAAGCGGCCCGUCUUGAAACACGGACCAAGGAGUCUAACAUCUAUGCGAGUGUUUGGGUGUCAAACCCAUGCGCGUAAUGAAAGUGAACGGAGGUGGGAACCCUCGCGGGUGCACCAUCGACCGAUCCUGAUGUCUUCGGAUGGAUUUGAGUAAGAGCAUAGCUGUUGGGACCCGAAAGAUGGUGAACUAUGCCUGAAUAGGGUGAAGCCAGAGGAAACUCUGGUGGAGGCUCGCAGCGGUUCUGACGUGCAAAUCGAUCGUCAAAUUUGGGUAUAGGGGCGAAAGACUAAUCGAACCAUCGACUACUAGGUGGUUAAGAGGUGGCUGAAAGUGCCCACCUAGUCCCCCCGUCCUCGGACGGGGGGGCGACAUCGCCAAAUUGCGGGGACUCCCUUAGAGCCUCUACUACCGCGGCCGGCCGAAAGGCGCGGUGCAGCACCGGGUUAAUUGCCUAGGGUACGGUAAAAAGGUAGAGGAUUGGGAAAUCCGCAGCCAAGCGCCUAAGUCCCGCGGGAUACGGCGAAGGUUCAGAGACUAGAUGGCGGUGGGUCCGGCCCGAGGGCCGGGCCUAAGGUAUAGUCCACCCCCCGCGGAGACGCGGGCGGUU